rnacentral:sRNA from 2 species
UUGAGAAGGAGUUGGGAGUGAGUGUGGAGAGAAGGAAGGUACCAUUUCUGUCAACACGUUGCGUACUCCCUACACUGCUCCUGGUGAGAGUGAGAUUCUG